rnacentral:antisense_RNA from 1 species
CGUAACCAAAAAUUACAAUUGGGUUUAAUGUUGGUGUUGUAAUAAAACGAACAUCACCACCACCAGGUGCCCAUGUAUCAUAUACACCACCUAAAUACAUUGCUUUGAUAACUAAUAAGAAAGCACCACAACCUAAAAGACAUAAGUGAAUACCUAAGAUUGUUGUCAUCUUAUUUUUAUCACGCCA